GUGUUUGCCUCAGCAACACAUACACUAAAAUUGGAAUGAUACAGGGAAGAUUAGCAUGGUCCCCAUGCAAGGAUGAGGUGCAAAUUCAUGAAGAGUUCCAUAUUAAA